rnacentral:rRNA from 1 species
AACGCGAAGAACCUUACCUGGCCUUGACAUGUACAUAGUAGAAGGGUGAAAGCCUGACGAGGUAGCAAUACCAGUGUACACAGGUGCUGCAUGGCUGUCGUCAGCUCGUGUCGUGAGAUGUUGGGUUAAGUCCCGCAACGAGCGCAACCCUUGUGUCCUGUUGCCACCCGAUCGCAAGAUCGGAGCACUCUGGACAGACUGCCUCGCUUAAACGAGGAGGAAGGUGGGGAUGACGUCAAGUCAGUAUGGCCCUUACGGCCAGGGCUGCACACGUACUACAAUGCCCGGCACAAAGGGAAGCAAGACCGCAAGGUGGAGCAAAUCCCCUAAAACCGGGCCCAGUUCAGAUUGUCGUCUGCAACUCGACGACAUGAAGUUGGAAUCGCUAGUAAUGGCGCAUCAGCUACGGCGCCGUGAAUACGUUCCCGGGCCUUGUACACACCGACGCAC